GGGAAUUUUAAUCUGGGAGAUGAUAUGUUAUGGAUGAGAACAAAAGAAUGGAUAACAGAGGGGUUGCCAAAGUUUUACAAAGAAGUUUUAAGGGCUUGGGGAAAACUUUUAACUACUGUACAGUACAACUUACAAGGAAGAGAAAACAUUUUAAAUCAGCCAUUGUUCCUAAACACCGGCAUUUUAAACCAAGGGAAGGAAAUAUAUUUUAAAAAAUGGAUGGAAGUUGGAAUAGUUAAAGUAAGAGAUGUUUUAUAUGAAUAUAAAGAAGGAUUUUUACCAAUGCAGUACAUUGUAGAUGUGAUGGAGGAAGCAAAAGAAGAAUUUAAAAUGCAAGAACUAAAAAAUAUGUAUGAAAUGAUAAAAAAUGCAAUACCUAAAGAAUGGAUAAAAAAGGUUGAAACUAUGGAAGGGGGGAAAGAGGAAAAGGAUGUGUAUGUAAUACUGGGAGAUAAAUUGUGGCUUUUAAAGGAAUGUACAGUGAAAAUGUUUUAUGGCUUUUUCAGAGAUGUGAUUUUUAAGAAACCGGUUGUAAACAAAUUUUGGCAGAAGACAUUUGAAGGUUUAAAAGAAGAGGAAAUUUGGAAAAAUAUGAAAGGGGAGAAAGUUGAGGUUAAAUUGGAAAAUUCUGAGUUUUUUAUCAGACACAGAGUGGUGUUUACUGAUGUUAUACUCAAUAAAAUUGGAAUGGAAAAAAGUGCCACAUGCAAAGUGUGCAGUGAGGAAGAUGAAGGUUUUUUACAUGUGUUUUUAUAUUGUAGAGCAUUGAAGGAUUUUAAUGAAAAAUGUAAAACUAUUAUUGUAAGCCUGGGAGGGGAGCAAGAUGGAGAAGUUACAGAAUGGAAUAAGAUCAUAAUGUUAGGGUGGGCUAAGGAGAACAAAAACAAAAAGGUGAUCAAUCUGUUUGUAAUGCUAAUGAAAAAAGUCAUCUGGGAAAGAAGAGUGAUCGCAAAACAAGAACAAAUUAUACUUGACGUGUGGUGUUUGUUUAAAAGGCGUUGGGAAAU
rnacentral:lncRNA from 1 species